rnacentral:rRNA from 1 species
CCUACGGGAGGCAGCAGUGGGGAAUAUUGGGCAAUGGAGGAAACUCUGACCCAGCGACGCCGCGUGCGGGAUGAAGGCCUUCGGGUUGUAAACCGCUUUCAGCAGGGAAGAAGCGAAAGUGACGGUACCUGCAGAAGAAGCACCGGCUAACUAUGUGCCAGCAGCCGCGGUAAUACAUAGGGUGCAAGCGUUGUCCGGAAUUAUUGGGCGUAAAGAGCUCGUAGGUGGUUCGUCACGUCGGAUGUGAAAAUCUGGGGCUUAACCCCAGACCUGCAUUCGAUACGGGCGAGCUUGAGUAUGGUAGGGGAGUCUGGAAUUCCUGGUGUAGCGGUGGAAUGCGCAGAUAUCAGGAGGAACACCAAUGGCGAAGGCAGGACUCUGGGCCAUUACUGACACUGAGGAGCGAAAGCGUGGGGAGCGAACAGGAUUAGAUACCCUGGUAGUCCACGCCGUAAACGGUGGGCACUAGUUGUGGGGACCUUCCACGGUCUCUGCGACGCNGCUACGCAUAGUGCCCGCCGUCGGGAGGUACGAGUCGCGAAGAAUUAAAACUUAAAAUUAGUAAGUUAGUACGGACGUGAGACGUGCCGACGGACGACGACGAGGGAGGAGG